GCGGUGACAAUCACUUGUAGUUUUGGUCCUCUUCGGCCUCCGGAGCCGGGUGUCGGACGUUCGAGUCGUCUCGGGCGCGCCA
rnacentral:tRNA from 1 species